UACGUAGGGGGCAAGCGUUGUCCGGAUUUAUUGGGCGUAAAGAGCGUGUAGGCGGCCAGACAGGUCAGCUGUGAAAACUCGAGGCUCAACCUCGAGACGUCGGUUGAAACCGUCUGGCUAGAGUCCGGAAGAGGAGAGUGGAAUUCCCGGUGUAGCGGUGAAAUGCGCAGAUAUCAGGAAGAACACCCGUGGCGAAGGCGGCUCUCUGGUACGUGACUGACGCUGAGACGCGAAAGCGUGGGGAGCAAACAGG
rnacentral:rRNA from 1 species